AGCGAGACUAGAGUCACGCCUUAACACUGUUUGUUGUCCUGGUGUGCUAGAGUCCUCGUAGAGUAAAAUGUCUGCGCUUAUUCAUUGGCUGUAGUCUGGUGUGGCCCGGCCAAUCACCAACUCAGACACAUCA